rnacentral:rRNA from 1 species
UACGGAGGGAGCUAGCGUUGUUCGGAAUUACUGGGCGUAAAGCGCGCGUAGGCGGCUUUGUAAGUUAGAGGUGAAAGCCCGGGGCUCAACCCCGGAACUGCCUUUAAAACUGCAUCGCUUGAAUCCGGGAGAGGUGAGUGGAAUUCCGAGUGUAGAGGUGAAAUUCGUAGAUAUUCGGAAGAACACCAGUGGCGAAGGCGGCUCACUGGACCGGUAUUGACGCUGAGGUGCGAAAGCGUGGGGAGCAAACAGGG